GAUGAACGCUAGCGGCAGGCCUAAUACAUGCAAGUCGAACGAUAGUCUUGUCUUCGGAUGAGAUGAGAGUGGCGCACGGGUGAGUAACGCGUACACGACCUACCUUACAGAGGGGGAUAGCCUUGGGAAACUGGGAGUAAUCCGCCAUAGUGUAUAUGAUCUGCAUGGAUGGUAUACUAAAGCUUCGGCGCUGUAAGAUGGGUGUGCGUCUGAUUAGGUAGUUGGUAGGUAACGGCCUACCAAGCCAACGAUCAGUAGGGGGCUGAGAGCGUGGUCCCCCACACGGGUACUGAGACACGGACCCGACUCCUACGGGAGGCAGCAGUAAGGAAUAUUGGACAAUGGGCGGAAGCCUGAUCCAGCCAUGCCGCGUGCAGGAUGACCGGCCCUCUGGGUUGUAAACUGCUUUAGAGUCGGGAAAGAAAGUUAUAUAUGUAUAUGUAAUUGACGGU
rnacentral:rRNA from 1 species